GACGAACGCUGGCGGCGUGCUUAACACAUGCAAGUCAAGCGGAAAGGCCACUUCGGUGGUACUCGAGCGGCGAACGGGUGAGUAACACGUGAGUAAUCUGCCCCUGGCUUUGGGAUAGCCACCGGAAACGGUGAUUAAUACCGGAUACGACCACUUCUCGCAUGGGAUGGUGGUGGAAAGUUUUUUCGGCCAGGGAUGUGCUCGCGGCCUAUCAGCUUGAUGGUGAGGGAAUGGCUCACCAUGGCUUCGACGGGUAGCCGGCCUGAGAGGGUGACCGGUCACACUGGGACUGAGACACGGCCCAGACUCCUACGGGAGGCAGCAGUGGGGAAUAUUGGACAAUGGGCGGAAGCCUGAUCCAGCAACGCCGCGUGAGGGAUGACGGCCUUCGGGUUGUAAACCUCUUUCAGCAGGGACGAAGCGCAAGUGACGGCACCUGCAGAAGAAGCACCGGCCAACUACGUGCCAGCCGCCGCAGUAA
rnacentral:rRNA from 1 species